GGAAAGGGGAGGGAGGCAACGCCUGGAAGCUUAGGGUAAGGGGGGUUAGAUCUCUUUUAAUCAUCAACAGAGGAAGAUAUGUUCAAUUUAGCUGAUGUUAGAUAAAUCUAAGAAAUGACAUACUGUAUCUGCAUUUAUUUUCUGGUGAAAGUGUCAGCAAUGAUUGAUCCAGGCACAAGUCUUAUUAUUGAUCCAGAGAGAAAUCUCAUUGUCAUUGUUGGAAUCAGAAAGGAAUUUAUUCCCUCCUAGUUUCUAAAUUGGCUAAAGCCUCAUUGGCUGGCUUUGUUUGCAUUCCUUUCCAUUCCAAUAAAUGUAUGGCCAAACUAGAUGCAAUAUUAGUGUUUGUAAAUUACAGGCUAACUUGCUCUGCUCUGGAUCAUCAGUCAAGAUCAUGCUACAGCAGAUGUACAUCCCUGGAAAAUCAAUGCAAAGUGUGUGGUUGGGAUAAGGCUGAAACAAGCAUCUCAGGCAUUAUAUAUCUAAUUCAGUGGUUCAAGGAAAACAACAGACCAAAAAUGUGACAUUUGAUAAAGAUUUUUUCGCUGGCUUUUGGAUUUGAUAAGAAAGUUUUUUUACCACCAAAAAUGUAAUAGACAUUUGUGUACGCGCACUUUGUUUAUAAGGCGCAGGUGAGGUAGGCACUUAGGCUAGUGAUGUGCGGGUUGACAAAAAGUCAACCCAAACCUGCCCAAUCCCAACCCACACAUGGCCGACACUUCUCUUUAUAAACCCCCACCUGACCUGCCCAUCUCUAAAGUCAUGAAAGGGGGCAGGUCCAGGGGGUUUUGGACCAGCCCACAUAUUACUAACGUAGGAAUCCAGAGCUGUCAACUCCCCUAUAGUUACACUGUGUCCCUCGGUCUCCCAUCACUUUUACUCACUUUCAAAUUUAUGAUGAUUUUGCAGGAUUACAGGCAAAAAUCCGAUGUGGGCAUGUGCAUACUGCUUCAGUGAAGUCAAUGGAUUGAUUUAUGCGGCUCCAGGAGAGGUUCUGUGCAUGUGAGCCUCUGAGGAGAACGGUUUCCAAAACCACAGCGUCUGGACUUUGCCUUUUGACCCAAUCAGGGAUUCGAGGAGAGAGGGGAGAACCAGGAAGUGAGACACUAGUGUGGGUGAGAGGAACGAGAGGCAAUAGUGGAACCGCAAGCAGGAUCGUGCGGCCAAUGUGAGACACACUUGAGAUUGUGACCGGAGGAUCCAAAGUACUUGCUAUUCUGAUGGCACACAUGAGGGAGAAGGGAGAUGGCUGAGACACAUUGUAGAAGAGAGGAGAGAGGAUUGGAAGGGCACGACACACAGAAGAUUAAUAUUACUGAAAUGGGAGCACAAUGCCAAUUACAGCUAAGUUUUCAUAUGCAAUGUACUUGGGAGCCUGCAAAGGAUAUUUGUAAAUGUAGAAAAAAAAAAAAUCCAGCAAAGCCACAAUACUAGCUUCAAUUCCAUUAAACAGAUAUUACUUUUUUUUUUAUCACAGAAAAUUUAUUUUGGUUAUCCUAUUGUGAAUAAGCUGUUAUUUUUCAUACAUUGUG